AUCUGGCACCUUCGGUGUCCGAGUUGUAAUCUCUAGAAAUGUUUUCCGCGUUGGACCGCACACAAGUCUGUUGGAAUACAGCGGCAUAGUGGUGAGACCCCCGUAUAUGGUGCGGACGCCCAGCGCUUUGUGAUACAUUUUCGAAGAGUCGAGUUGUUUGGGAAUGCAGCUCAAAUUGGGUGGUAAAUUCCAUCUAAAGCUAAAUAUUGGCGAGAGACCGAUAGCGAACAAGUACCGUGAGGGAAAGAUGAAAAGCACUUUGGAAAGAGAGUUAACAGUACGUGAAAUUGUUGGAAGGGAAACGCUUGAAGUCAGACUUGCUUGCCGAGCAAUCGGUUUGCAGGCCAGCAUCAGUUUUCCGGGAUGGAUAAUGGUAGAGAGAAGGUAGCAGUUUCGGCUGUGUUAUAGCUCUCUGCUGGAUACAUCUUGGGGGACUGAGGAACGCAGUGUGCCUUUUGGCGGGGGUUUCGACCUCUUCACACUUAGGAUGCUGGUGGAAUGGCUUUAAACGACCCGUCUUGAAAC
rnacentral:rRNA from 1 species